rnacentral:lncRNA from 1 species
UAGAAAUGGAUUUGAGAUGAGGCUAAAUUGGAGAUCUCAAUAGUCAUUGCUUAUUAUGAACACUAUUACUUAGCUAAGCUAAGCUAAGAUUAUUUUAUUUUAUUAUAUGAUUUAAUUUAUAUACAUUAUCAACGUAAAAAAUUUAACACUGUCAAUCGAUCACAAUCGUCAAAUCAUUGAAAACGUUGUUCUUUUUAAAAGUUAUUCAUAUGAUUGGUUGUGAUUUGUCGAUAGUGAUGAACUAUUUACAUUGACAUUGUAUCAAAAUUAAAUCCGUUAUUAUAUUUAUAUGAAAUAAAAAAUAAAAAGGUUGCUUUUCCCCUAUCAUUUUCAAUGUCAUAAGCAAUAAGCAUAUCGCUAUCAAGGUAGUAGGAGGUGAAAAGAUAUCUUUGUUAAUCUAUCAUUUCCUUUCCAUGUACUA